rnacentral:siRNA from 1 species
AGCCCAUCUAUGAUAGUGCGGGUA